rnacentral:rRNA from 1 species
GAUGAACGCUAGCUACAGGCUUAACACAUGCAAGUCGAGGGGCAGCAUUUCAGUUUGCUUGCAAACUGGAGAUGGCGACCGGCGCACGGGUGAGUAACACGUAUCCAACCUGCCGAUAACUCGGGGAUAGCCUUUCGAAAGAAAGAUUAAUACCCGAUGGUAUCUUAAGCACGCAUGAGAUUAAGAUUAAAGAUUUAUCGGUAAGCGAUGGGGAUGCGUUCCAUUAGGCAGUUGGCGGGGUAACGGCCCACCAAACCGACGAUGGAUAGGGGUUCUGAGAGGAAGGUCCCCCACAUUGGUACUGAGACACGGACCAA